AUUACUAAGCGGAGGAAAAGAAACUAACGAGGAUUCCCUCAGUAACGGCGAGUGAAGCGGGAUAAGCCCAGCACCGAAUCCCCUGCCUUCGGUAGCGGGACCUGUGGUGUUUGGGAAGUCUACUGGGCGGUGGCUGUCGGGUCCGAGUUCCCCUGAUCGGGGCUUCACCCAGUGGGUGUCAGGCCUCUACGGCGAGGGGUCGUCUCUCCUAUAAGCGUCCUAGGAGUCGGGUUGUUUGGGAAUGCAGCCCAAAGUGGGUGGUAAACUCCAUCUAAGGCUAAAUACUGACACGAGUCCGAUAGC
rnacentral:rRNA from 1 species